CACCCAAAGGCAUGAGUGAACAUUUGAUAAGUUUAUUGUGAUUUAAUUGGUAAUUUGGUCGACAUUUUGACAAUUAUAUUUAGCAAUAUUUCGAUAAAUGCGGAUCUGCUUCUUCCUCUUUUCGUAGUGACGGUGUUUCGAUAACUCAGUUAGACUUCGAGAUCUACAUUUUCGACAAAGGCCUGGUGUAAUAUUACGUACUUGAUGAAGGUUUAAUGACACGAAUGAGUACAAGUACAUUACAUUUUUCGACGAAGGCCUUCUGUAAUUUCAUACGCUUCUUACGCAACAUUCAAUAGAUUUAUUUACUGUAUUAUCAUUUCGACCAAGGCGAAUUCGACACUUCAAUUACACAAGGUUAGUAACUUUUGUUCACAAAAUCCAAAUGGAGGCAAAUACAGAACAAUCAAACUUAGUCAUUCCAGUCAGUUACUGAAGCACAGUGAAAACUGUCGGGAGCAGUGCAACUGAUGGCAUGUCAAACUUCCAGUGACUGUCCCUGUCCAUAUAUUUCAAGACAGUACAAAUC